rnacentral:rRNA from 1 species
GAUGAACGCUGGCGGCGUGCCUAAUACAUGCAAGUCGAGCGAGCGGAACCAACAGAUUUACUUCGGUAAUGACGUUGGGAAAGCGAGCGGCGGAUGGGUGAGUAACACGUGGGGAACCUGCCCCUAAGUCUGGGAUACCAUUUGGAAACAGGUGCUAAUACCGCAUAAGCCCACGGUGCCGCAUGGCACAGCGGGAAAAGGAUUUAUUCGCUUCAGGAUGGACUCGCGUCCAAUUAGCUAGUUGGUGAGGUAACGGCCCACCAAGGCGACGAUUGGUAGCCGGACUGAGAGGUUGAACGGCCACAUUGGGACUGAGACACGGCCCAG